rnacentral:lncRNA from 1 species
GAUGAGUAGCGGCUCCGCUUCAUUGAUAUUAUUUGUUAGUGAUGCCAUUUUCUCGACGGGUUUAUAUGGCCUUAACUGUUGUUGAGUACUUGUGUUCUCCGAUGUAUGUUCUAUUACAUUGUCACUUAUAUGUCAACUUGAUUAGACUUUCAUUUGACCCACUUUUAUUUGAUUUAAUUUUAGGCAACCUCAUGUUUAGUUUUGUUUUAAAGUAUAUUUUGUUAUUCUGAUAUGCAGGCUUGUUAAAAUUUAAGAAUUUUGGACAACACAUAAUUUAUUUUUGAAGUUUGUUCUUAUUCUUUUAUUUCUACUAUCUACUAUCUAAUGUUGUAAAUAUGUUAGGUAUGAUUGGGUAGCAGGCUUCUUGGUGCUGGCCAACACAAUCUGCCAUGACAUGAUACUUACCAUCAGGAGGGGCGACGACAAGAACCUGAAUAGCAGCCUCAAUAGUAUCAUAUUUUCUGUUGUUGUAAUUGGAUUGUACUGGUUCCUAGCGUUGUUGUGUGAUAUAUUUUGUCAAUAUAUUCUGUAAAUUACCAUUUCAUGGAGGAUUUUGUAAACUGAUGUGGUGUAGAUACCAAUAGAUGGUUGCAUAUUGAAUAUCCGUGUAAUGUAUGAUCACACUUUGGAAAUGCUUCGUCUUGGCCUAGAGUUGGUAUUAUGAUUU